UACGACUACAUAUCAGGCAUAUCAAUAAGCGGAGGAAAAGAAACUAACUAGGAUUCCCUUAGUAACGGCGAGUGAAGCGGGAAGAGCUCAAAUUUGAAAUCUUCAAGGUUCUACCUUGACGAAUUGUAGUUUAAAGAAGUGUUUUCUGUUGAGUGUUUUGGUAAAAGUUCUUUGGAAUAGGACAUCAUAGAGGGUGAGAAUCCCGUAUUUGACCAUUACUUCCAGCGUUGUGAUACACUUUCAAAGAGUCGGAUUGUUAGGGAAUGCAGUCCAAAAUGGGUGGUAAAUUUCAUCUAAAGCUAAAUAUUGGCGAGAGACCGAUAGCGAACAAGUACCGUGAGGGAAAGAUGAAAAGAACUUUGAAAAGAGAGUUAAACAGUACGUGAAAUUGUCAAAAGGGAAGCGUUUGACACCAGUGUUGUUUUCUCGAAAAUCAAUUAAAAAGUAUGGGAUUUUGUAUUGUUAAGACCUUAUCAGCUUACGGUACUUUUUUCUUAUUCUUUUUAAUGCACUUUUCGUUUAACAAGUCAACAUCAAUUUCUUUUGUUGUAGAAGAGUCAUUGGAAGGUGGCUUUCACUUCGGUGAAAGUGUUUAUAGCCUUUGGCUUCUGCAAUCGGAGAGAUUGAGGUCUGCAGCGUAGAUCCUUCGGGGUUAGAUACAGUUAGAUGCUAAGUUAUAGCCUUUUCAUAGACAACUUGUUGACUAUGCUCAGUCAUGUAGCUUACUCGCUUAUGCUAUUUUACCUACGCUUAGGAUGUUGAAUCUGUGCGAGACUAC
rnacentral:rRNA from 1 species